UACGUAGGGGGGCAAGCGUUGUCCGGAUUCAUUGGGCGUAAAGAGCGUGUAGGCGGCCAGGUAGGUCGGUUGUGAAAAACUGGAGGCUCAACCUUCAGAGGUCGACCGAAAACCAUCUGGCUAGAGUCCGGGAGAGGAGAGUGGAAUUCCUGGUGUAGCGGUGAAAUGCGCAGAUAUCAGGAAGAACACCCGUGGCGAAAGCGGCUCUCUGGAACGGUACUGACGCUGAGACGCGAAAGCGUGGGAGCGAACAGG
rnacentral:rRNA from 1 species